rfam:Myotis davidii contig226385, whole genome shotgun sequence.
GGUAGUUCUCAGAUGACGCACCCCAGAAUUGGGCUCCCUCCUCUCUGGUUCCAGGGUGUGUCAACCAAGAACCAUU